AUUGAACGCUGGCGGCAGGCCUAACACAUGCAAGUCGAACGAGUGGCGGCCGGGUGAUUAGUUUCUGGAAACCUGCCUGAUGGAGGGGGAUAACUACUGGAAACGUUAGCUACUACCGCAUACCAUCGGAUGUGCCCAGAGGGGAUUAGCUAGUAGGUGGGGUAAAGGCUAACCUAGGCGACGAGCCCUAGCUGGGCUGAGAGGAUUACCAGCCACACUGGAACUGAGACACGGGCCAGACUCCUACGGGAGUCAGCAGUGGGGAAUAUUUCACAAUGGGAGCAAGCCUGACGAAGCCAUGCCGCGUGUGUGAAGAAGGCCUUCGGGUUGUAAAGCACUUUCAGCGAGGAGGCGUUAUUCGCAGAAGAAGCAACGGCUAACUCCGUGCCAGCAGCCGCGGUAAUUC
rnacentral:rRNA from 1 species